UCUCCUGGAAACGGGUGGUAAUGCCGGAUGCUCCGACUCCUCGCAUGGGGUGUCGGGAAAGAUUUCAUCGGUAUGGGAUGGGGUCGCGUCCUAUCAGGUAGUCGGCGGGGUAACGGCCCACCGAGCCUACGACGGGUAGCCGGCCUGAGAGGGCGACCGGCCACAUUGGGACUGAGAUACGGCCCAGACUCCUACGGGAGGCAGCAGUGGGGAAUAUUGCACAAUGGGCGCAAGCCUGAUGCAGCGACGCCGCGUGCGGGAUGACGGCCUUCGGGUUGUAAACCGCUUUUGAUCGGGAGCAAGCCUUCGGGUGAGUGUACCUUUCGAAUAAGCACCGGCUAACUACGUGCCAGCAGCCGCGGUAAUACGUAGGGUGCAAGCGUUAUCCGGAAUUAUUGGGCGUAAAGGGCUCGUAGGCGGUUCGUCGCGUCCGGUGUGAAAGUCCAUCGCUUAACGGUGGAUCUGCGCCGGGUACGGGCGGGCUGGAGUGCGGUAGGGGAGACUGGAAUUCCCGGUGUAACGGUGGAAUGUGUAGAUAUCGGGAAAGAACACC
rnacentral:rRNA from 1 species